GGCAUCCGAAUGAGUACACUUUAAAUCCUUUAACGAUGAACAACUGGAGGGCAAGUCUGGUGCCAGCAGCCGCGAUAACUCCAGCUCCAGAAGCGUAUAUUAAAGUUGUUGCAGUUAAAAAGCUCGUAGUUGGAUCUGGGUCGCAUGGCUAUUCGCCGUGGUUUGCCUCAAUAUCGUCUAUGACGGUAGUUGUGGCUUCCCGGUGUUGUAGUCGUGUAACCUUUCUGCCGUGUCUGUUUCACUAACAGGUGCUGGUUUCGACUGGCAUGCUUUCGGGUGCUCUUAACUGAGUGUCCGGAGCGGGCGGCACGUUUACUUUGAACACAUUUGAGUGCUCCAAGCAGGC
rnacentral:rRNA from 1 species